rnacentral:rRNA from 1 species
UGGGGAAUUUUACGCAAUGGGGGAAACCCUGACGUAGCGACACCGCGUGAAUGAAGAAGCCCUUUGGGGUGUAAAGUUCUGUCGGCUGGAACGAAACAAAUGACGGUACCAGCAAAGGAAGCAUCGGCUAACUACGUGCCAGCAGCCGCGGUAAGACGUAGGAUGCGAGCGUUGUCCGGAUUUAUUGGGCGUAAAGAGUUCGUAGGUGGUUUGUUAAGUCUGAUGUUAAAGAUCGGAGCUCAACUUCGGGACAGCAUUGGAUACUGGCAGACUUGAGUAUGGUAGAGGCUAGUGGAAUUCCCAGUGUAGCGGUGAAAUGCGUAGAUAUUGGGAAGAACACCGGUGGCGUAGGCGACUAGCUGGGCCAUAACUGACGCUGAGGAACGAAAGCCAGGGGAGC